CAAAACGACUCUCGGCAACGGAUAUCUCGGCUCUCGCAUCGAUGAAGAACGUAGCGAAAUGCGAUACUUGGUGUGAAUUGCAGAAUCCCGUGAACCAUCGAGUCUUUGAACGCAAGUUGCGCCCGAAGUCGUUAGGCCGAGGGCACGCCUGCCUGGGCGUCAC
rnacentral:rRNA from 1 species